AUAUCAUGCAUAUCCUAAAACUCUCUACCACAAAAAAAUAAGAAUACACAAACACAACAAUGGCAGAUGAUUUCUCUGCUCUCACAUGUCUAAAAUUAAACUGCAAUAAAUAAAUUAAUUAAUUUUUAUGAAGUCCUUAUACCUCAUCCCUAAAAGAAUAUACCAUAUGGUUUACACAUUUCACCACACACACAGAAGAAUCUAUCUGAUGAACACUUUUCCAAAUCCAGCAGUUAAGACAUUUAACCAUCCAGAGCACUUGAAAUUACAGAUAUCAAAAAUGUAACCACAUGGAAUUUUUACUUUUUCUAAAUAUGAUUUCUGGGAAACAAUCAACUCCAACUAUACUUUUAGUGGGGAUCUUCCUACUCAGCUGCCCCAGAACUGUACUCAGCUGUCAGCAAUGCCCUUGCCUCCUCCUGCAGACACAGCAUAUGUCCUCCAUGUUCUUUUCUCAAAGGGAAAGUUGCAAACAGUGUUUUUCUCCUUGUCGUUAUUCAUCCUUUGGGAGAAGUUAUUCCUAACCCAUGAAUUUCCCAUGUACCAUCAAUUUCCCACAGUUUUGCAGCAGUGAUCACUGGGAUCCUUGCCUUUGGCAAAGAAAUCUCCUGCCAUAUUCUCAGGCUUAGGAGUAAGCAAUAGAAUAUGUUUACCAGAAUGUGCAUUAUUUUUGACACAGAUUCAUAGAAUCGUUGGGAUUUCCCAAUGAUGAAAGUCAAUAUAUCGUUUUGCCAGAAAGCAUUAAAAUAGCAACCUUUCGAAGUCUUGCCUUAUAUCAGAGUUUUUAAACUUUAUCAAGAGGACAGGUACCCAGAAAAUAGGAUGUAGUAACCCUUAAGUGAAACUGUAUGGGGAAAAGAGAGAUAAUGCUCCUUUUACUAACAUAGAUAGCUGUGUCUGUGGGUUCUGUAUCUGUAGAUUCAACCAAUUGUGGACCUAUAAUAUCCUUUCAAUGUUACAUUGUUGCUGACAUGAACUAUGUAGUUAGGUCUAAAAUAGCUGCUGUAUACUAAACAUGUACAGACUUGUUUUUGGUCAUCAUUCCCUAAAUAAUACAGUAUAACAACUAUUCACAUAGCAUUCACAUUGUACUGCAUUAUAAUCUAGAGAUGAUUUAAAGUAGGUGGGAAGAUAUGCCCAGAUUAUAUGUAAAUCUUACGCCAUUUUACAUAAAGGAAUUGAGCGUCCCCAGAUUUUGGCAUCGGCAGGGGUGUCGGACAUCCUGUAACCAAUCCCCCAAGGAUGCUGAGGGAUGGCUGUGCUCUGACAUCAUAGACAAUGGAGAUGGAAAGGAUCACAACAUUCCUCAUCACGAUAAUUUCCUAAAGCACUUCUUUAAAACUAGACUUCUCUGGGAAAACCAACCAGUCACUUUAAAA